ACGGGUCGCGACGGUGGCGGAACGGCCGAGACGGCAUCGGAUACCGGAGUAGUGAUGGAAGUACGGGAAGGUGAGAGACCGAAAUCGAGAAAAAAAACGUUUUACUCGACGGAACGAUCUGCAGUUGUACGACAAGUACGACGGCGGAGGAGUGAGGUCCGAGGACUACGAUCGCCACGCGGCGUGUCGGGGGCGGGAGGGACACAAUGGAACAAGGCUGCCAGCCAGUCGAGAACAGCUGAGCGGUGUUGGCCGACUUGUCGUGUGCGCCGUGCGGAGUGUUUGCAACCACCGUAUAAAUCUAUAAUUAUAGCCGUGUGCCCGUGUAUGCAGCUGCACGUAUCUUCUGAGUUCAGACCGUCCGCGAUCCGGAAUUCAUCGGGGAUUCACAAUUCUGGACUAUUACCCUUUUGUAUACCCUCAACUCUUGUAUAUAGUUUUGGUUCAGUAAUCUUUUAUCUAUGGUGGAUCGGCCUGACCGCGCGCACGCCGUCUACAGACGACGUGUUCCAUCGUCUAUUUUGUCAAAUAGUAUUAUUAUGGUGUACUGAUACGGCAUUUAUAAUAUUUUUUUUAUGUACAGGCGGAUUUCCCUAGCAUGCUCACCUCCAUUUUUUCUUCAAUAAUGAAAUUAUUCAAGUUUUUAUUUUAAUCACAAAUUAACUAUAUUAAUUCGUGAUUUUAUUGUUUAAAUCUAUACUUAAGCACCAUAAUUUUAAUACUUAAUUUUUUUAUAAUAUUUAAAUAGAAUUGUCUAUGGCAAUAUUUUUCCGUUAAGAAUUGCCCUUUUUUACUUUAAAAAUAAAAUUGUUAAUUAGAUUA